UGUCUGAGCCUGACUCUCUGCCCCUGAGCUCCCUUGGUGACAGCACCAAAAGAGACACUGCAAAGGGAAACUCUCCUCAUUGCACUGGGGGCAUCCAGGGAGCUCAGACUAAUAGACUCUGAGGUUCCUUCAUCUCUGCUGAUGAAGGGGGAAGCCUGGAUUCCUGGUUCAACAUGGUCUCUGGGUCAGAUUCAAAUAAGAGAUUCCUGAGGAUAAGCGGUAUGAACCAAAACUUCUUUUUCUUUUUACAAGAAUGUACCAGAGGGGAAAAAAAAAAGAAAAGGUCAGUGGUGGCUCAGUGCCUGCUAGGCCAGUGCUAGGCGCAUGGCUGCUGUUUCUGGUUGUGAGGUCACUUGUGGCUCAGUGCCUGAUAGGCCAGUGCUAGGCCCAUGGCUGCUGUUUUCAACUGUGAGGUCA
rnacentral:lncRNA from 1 species